CGCGUGAGUAAUCUUCCUUAGAGUGGGGGAUAACCAGUCGAAAGACUGGCUAAUACCGCAUAUGACCACAGGAUCUGCGGAUCCAGGGGUAAAAGGUUUUUCGCUCUAAGAUGAGCUCGCGUAAGAUUAGCUAGUUGGUGAGGUAACGGCUCACCAAGGCAACGAUCUUUAACAGGUCUGAGAGGAUGAUCUGUCACACUGGAACUGAGACACGGUCCAG
rnacentral:rRNA from 1 species